CAGCGUGACAGUGUGCAGGUUGUCGUCAGCUCGUGUCGUGAGAUGUUGGGUUAAGUCCCGUAACGAGCGCAACCCUUGAUCUUAGUUGCCAGCAUUCAGUUGGGCACUCUAAGGUGACUGCCGGUGACAAAUCGGAGGAAGGUGGGGAUGACGUCAAAUCAUCAUGCCCCUUAUGACCUGGGCUACACACGUGCUACAAUGGACGGUACAGACGGUUGCCAACCCGCGAGGGGGAGCCAAUCCGAUAAAACCGUUCCCAGUUCGGAUUGCAGGCUGCAACUCGCCUGCAUGAAGCCGGAAUCGCUAGUAAUCGUGAU
rnacentral:rRNA from 1 species